AUUGAACGCUGGCGGCAUGAUUUACACAUGCAAGUCGAACGGUAACAGGCCGCAAGGUGCUGACGAGUGGCGAACGGGUGAGUAAUGCAUCGGAACGUUCCCAGUCGGGGGGGCUAACUACUCGAAAGAGUAGCUAAUACCGCAUACGAUCUAUGGAUGAAAGCGGGGGACCGUAAGGCCUCGCGCGAUUGGAGCGGCCGAUGUCGGAUUAGGUAGUUGGUGGGGUAAAGGCUCACCAAGCCAACGAUCUUUAGCUGUGCUGAGAGGACGACCCGCCACACGGGGACGGAGACACGGCCCAGCCUCCUACGGGAGGCGGCAGUGGGGAAUUUUGGACAAUGGGGGCAAGCCUGCUCCAGCAAUGCCGCGUGCAGGAAGAAGGCCUUCGGGUUGUAAACUGCUUUUGUACGGAACGAAACGGCUCUGGUUAAUACCCGGGGCUAAUGACGGUACCGUAAGAAUAAGCACCGGCUAACUACGUG
rnacentral:rRNA from 1 species